AGGGUUUGAUCCUGGCUCAGAUUGAACGCUGGCGGCGUGGCUAAAACAUGCAAGUCGAACGGAAAGGCUUUCAUGGAUCCUUCGGGUGAAGUGAAAGUACUCGAGUGGCGAAAGGGCGAGUAACGCUUAGGUAACGUACCUUAUCCUUGGGGAUAGCUGCGGGAAACUGCAGGUAAUACCCGAUAUGACCACGACAUCUCCGGAUGUUGAGGUAAAAGGUGGCCUCUAUUUAUAUGCUACCGGGAAAAGAGCGGCCUAAGUCCUAUCAGCUUGUUGGUGAGGUAAUGGCUCACCAAGGCAUCGACGGGUACCGGGUCUGAGAGGACGAUCCGGCGCAUUGGGACUGAGACACUGCCCAGACUCCUACGGGAGGCUGCAGUAACGAAUAUUGGACAAUGAGCGAAAGCUUGAUCCAGCGACGCCGCGUGCAGGAAGAAGUCCCUCGGGAUGUAAACUGCUGUCAGGGAAUAGCAAGCAAUCGCGGUCAAUACCCGCGUGCGUUGAGCAUUCCCACAGGAAGCCACGGCUAACUUCGUGCCAGCAGCCGCGGUAAGACGAAGGUGGCGAGCGUUAAUCGGAAUUACUGGGCUUAAAGAGCAUGUAGGCUGACUGUCAAGCGUUUUGUGAAAGCCCCCGGCUUAACCGGGGAAUUGCUUGGCGAACUGGCAGUCUUGAGACAGGUAGGGGCAACUGGAACUUGUGGUGGAGCGGUGAAAUGCGUAGAUAUCACAAGGAACACCCGAGGUGAAGACGAGUUGCUGGGCCUGUUCUGACGCUGAGAUGCGAAAGCUAGGGUAGCGAACGGGAUUAGAUACCCCGGUAGUCCUAGCCCUAAACGAUGUCUACUAGGCCGAGGGUUCUCUGACGGAUUCUUGGCCGUAAUGAAAACGUUAAGUAGACCGCCUGGGGAGUACGGUCGCAAGGCUAAAACUCAAAGGAAUUGACGGGGGCUCACACAAGCGGUGGAGCAUGUUGCUUAAUUCGAUUCAACGCGAAGAACCUUAUCCUGGGCUUGACAUGUUCGGAUGCCCUCUGCGAAAGCAGAGUAAGCUGCCCUUCGGGGUGAAACGUUCACAGGUGCUGCAUGGCUGUCGUCAGCUCGUGUCGUGAGAUGUUGGGUUAAGUCCCGUAACGAGCGAAACCCUUGUCGUUAGUUGCCAGCGCGUUAUGGCGGGGACUCUAACGAGACUGCCGGUGUUAAACCGGAGGAAGGUGGGGAUGACGUCAAGUCCUCAUGGCCUUUAUGCCCAGGGCUGCAAAC
rnacentral:rRNA from 1 species